AUUGAACGCUGGCGGCAGGCCUAACACAUGCAAGUCGAACGAGUGGCGGACGGGUGAGUAAUGUCUGGGAAACGGCCUGAUGGAGGGGGAUAACUAAUGGAAACGGUAGCUAAUAACGCAUACCAUCAGAUGUGCCCAGAUGGGUUUAGCUAGUUGUUGGGGUAACGGCUAACCAAGGAGCAGAUCCCUAGCUGGUCUGAGAGGAUGACCGGCCAAACUGGAACUGAGCCACGGUCCAGACUCCUACGGGAGGCAGCAGUGGGGAAUUUUGCACAAUGGGCGCAAGCCUGAUGCAGCCAUGCCGCGUGUAUGAAGAAGGCCUUGGGUUUGUAAAGUACUUUCAGCGGGGAGGCGUUACCCGAAGAAGAAGCACCGGCUAACUCCGUGCCAGCAGCCGCGGUAAUUC
rnacentral:rRNA from 1 species